rnacentral:rRNA from 1 species
AUACGGAGGAUCCGAGCGUUAUCCGGAUUUAUUGGGUUUAAAGGGUGCGCAGGCGGGUGAUUAAGUCGGCGGUGAAAUUUUUGAGCUCAACUGGGAAAGGGCCUUUGAAAAUGGUUUUCUUGAGUGUUGGUGAAGGUGGCGGAAUUUUGGGUGUAGGGGGGAAAUGUAUAGAUAUCACGAGGAACUCCGAUUGCGCAGGCAGCUUACUAAACUACUACUGACGCUCAGGCACGAAGGCGUGGGGAUCAAACAGGAUUAGAUACCCUGGUAGUCCACGCAGUAAACGAUGAUUACUAGCUGUUUGCGAUACAAUGUAGGCGGCUGAGCGAAAGCGUUAAGUAAUCCACCUGGGGAGUACGGUCGCAAGAAUGAAACUCAAAUGAAUGGACGGGG